rnacentral:rRNA from 1 species
UACGGAGGAUGCGAGCGUUAUCCGGAUUUAUUGGGUUUAAAGGGUGCGCAGGCGGAUUUUUAAGUCAGCGGUCAAAUCGUGGGGCUCAACCCCAUCCAGCUGUUGAAACUGGGGAUCUAGAGUGUGCGAGAGGUAUGCGGAAUGCGUGGUGUAGCGGUGAAAUGCAUAGAUAUCACGCAGAACCCCGAUUGCGAAGGCAGCAUACCGGUGCACAACUGACGCUCAGGCACGAAAGCGUGGGUAUCGAACAGG